AUGAAAUCCUCUCUUGUUGUGUGAGGUCCCUGAGGUUGUUGCAUUUCUUCUCUUCUGGAGAGGAUAUGGUGCACCAUCUGAUGACUGACUUGGGGGGAGCGGCGAAACACACAGCCGCUAUCCCCAAGGACAGCACGGUGCAGAGGAUGAGCUUCAUGUUGGGGCAGGGAGCUGGGUGUUGAGGAGGGGGAGCAGCGGUGUUGGUCACAGACCGUCCCC
rnacentral:lncRNA from 1 species